rnacentral:rRNA from 1 species
GAUGAACGCUGGCGGCGUGCCUAAUACAUGCAAGUCGAGCGAAUGGAUUAAGAGCUUGCUCUUAUGAAGUUAGCAGCGGACGGGUGAGUAACACGUGGGUAACCUGCCCAUAAGACUGGGAUAACUCCGGGAAACCGGGGCUAAUACCGGAUAACAUUUUGAACCGCAUGGUUCUAAAUUGAAAGGCGGCUUCGGCUGUCACUUAUGGAUGGACCCGCGUCGCAUUAGCUAGUUGGUGAGGUAACGGCUCACCAAGGCAACGAUGCGUAGCCGACCUGAGAGGGUGAUCGGCCACACUGGGACUGAGACACGGCCCAGACUCCUACGGGAGGCAGCAGUAGGGAAUCUUCCGCAAUGGACGAAAGUCUGACGGAGCAACGCCGCGUGAGUGAUGAAGGCUUUCGGGUCGUAAAACUCUGUUGUUAGGGAAGAACAAGUGCUAGUUGAAUAAGCUGGCACCUUGACGGUACCUAACCAGAAAGCCACGGCUAACUACGUGCCAGCAGCCGCCGUAA